rnacentral:rRNA from 1 species
UACGGGGGGGGCAAGCGUUGUUCGGAAUUACUGGGCGUAAAGGGCUCGUAGGUGGCCAACUAAGUCAGACGUGAAAUCCCUCGGCUUAACCGGGGAACUGCGUCUGAUACUGGAUGGCUAGAGAUUGGGAGAGGGAUGCGGAAUUCCAGGUGUAGCGGUGAAAUGCGUAGAUAUCUGGAGGAACACCGGUGGCGAAGGCGGCAUCCUGGACCGAUACUGACGCUGAGGAGCGAAAGCCAGGGGAGCAAACGGG